UCCGGUUUAACACCGGCAGUCCUCUCAGAGUGCCCAACUUAAUGGUGGCAACUAAGAGCAAGGGUUGCGCUCGUUGCGGGACUUAACCCAACAUCUUACGACACGAGCUGACGACAGCCAUGCAGUACCUGUCUCUGUGUCCCCGAAGGGAAAGUAACAUCUCUGCUACGGUCACAGGAUGUCAAGCCUAGGUAAGGUUCUGCGCGUUGCUUCGAAUUAAACCACAUACUCCACCGCUUGUGCGGGCCCCCGUCAAUUCCUUUGAGUUUUAGUCUUGCGACCGUACUCCCCAGGCGGUCAACUUCACGCGUUAGCUGCGUUACUAAGAGAUAACCUCUCCCAACAACUAGUUGACAUCGUUUAGGGCGUGGACUAC
rnacentral:misc_RNA from 1 species